CGGCACAAGAUGUAUGCUCGUGCUCGCUGUCGCCGCAGGGGAAUCCGGUGCGAAUCCGGAACUGUCCCGCAACGGUGUACUCAUGCCCGUAUGCCUGCGUAUCCCGCAGAAGCCGCAUCCGCGCAUCGAGCCAGUCCGAGGACCUGCCGGCAGUGCACCGGGCCG
rnacentral:ncRNA from 2 species